CUUGCAAUGGAACUGAGGAUGUACAGGA
rnacentral:piRNA from 1 species